rnacentral:lncRNA from 1 species
UUUGGAAUGGGAAAGUAUCUUUUUUUUCUUCCUUGAAUCCUUGGGAAUUUCUAUAUGGAUACAGUUAAAAACUCAUCAUGAAGAUGAAAAAGUUCAUAUUACUCUUAAUUUGUUGUCUCUAAUUUUUAGCUUUUUUUCACGACCUCAAUUUGGAGAUUCAAAGCCAUCAUUAUUCUGGCCAAUGUUUUUCUCUAGAAGUCUUCUGUCUCACAAACAGGCCAAGUGUUUGAGGGAUCUUUUCCAUCACUUGCAGACCUAAAGGAUAAGAUGAAGCUUAUCUUUAUUCUGAUCCCCUGACUCACUCUCCAGAGUAUUUUGAUUUCAAUGUAGUCUUGACUGAUGAGACUGCUUAUGGAGAAAGGCCAAGGCUGAGCCACUCUUGACACCAGAGGCUUUUGGAAGUCAGCAGUAUUGAAAGAGUAACUACUCAUCAGGGAAAGACUCUUCUGAAAGAACUCUACUUUCCUGCUUUGCACAGUUCCUGAGAUGCAUGUGUCUAUCUAUCUCAGCAUUAAGUUCAAAUUUACUCUAUGCACUGAAGAAAGGUAAGUAGAGAGGCAAAGGUGGUUAAGAUGCUCUUUGAUAUUUGGAAGACCUUUGUUUAGUUCUCUGCUCCAAGACAGGCUCCCCAUUUGACCCCAAGGCAGGCCUUAACCCUGCAGUGUUUCAUUUGUAAAACAGUCAGGGUAUCACAGAGCUCCUACACAGGAAUGCAG